rnacentral:lncRNA from 1 species
AUCCCACUCGGUUCACUUCGCAAGCAACAGCCCUUCGUGCCAAAGAUGUCCGAGGAGAGGCACCACCACCACCUCUUCCACCACCGCCAGGAGGAGGAGAAGCCCUCCGAGGAGGUGGUCUACUCGGAGACCGCCUAUAACCCCAGCGGCGAUGACUACACCUCCGGCUACACGGAGACCGCCGUCGCCGAGUCCGCUUCAGAUGAGUUCGAGAGGUACGAGAAGGAAGAGAAGCAUCACAAGCACAAGGAGCACCUCGGCGAGAUGGGCGCCCUCGCCGCCGGUGCCUUUGCCUUGGUACUCCUCUUUCUUCACAUACUGCAUAGACAUCGGUUUCUUGAUCCUUUUUCCUUUUUCUUGGAGACCAUCAUAAGAACUAUGCAGUCGACUACAUGUGACUAAGUCGAACUUACAAUAAAUGGUGAUCCAACAGUACGAGAAGCAUGAGGCCAAGAAGGACCCUGAGCACGCCCACAAGCACAAGAUCGAGGAGGAGAUCGCUGCAGCGGUGGGCGUCGGCAGCGGAGGGUAUGCCUUCCAUGAGCACCACGAGAAGAAGGAUGCCGAGAAAGAGGCCGAGGAGGCGAGCGGACAGAAGCAUCACCACCACCAC